rnacentral:lncRNA from 1 species
AAAUUGUAAAACUGGCUUAUCAUGUGGCUAAAGUUAUUUUGGAUGCAAAAACCCACAAUGAUGAAAGAAUUCAGUCCUCAACACUCUUUCAAAAGGGGAGAAAGUUUUACUCGCCUAAAUAUCAAUUCUAAAACACGCCAUUUCCUUCCAUAACACUGCAAACUGGCCCCUUUCAAAGACUGUUUCUUUCUCAGCCUCGAUUUUAUUUUCCGUUCCACUCUUAGAGUAUAAGAUUAAUUCCCACAUUCUGCACAUUGCCAGGAGUUCAGUGCACAUGUUUACUGAGGUGUACAGCUCUCAAAUAACUUUGGUGCUUCUUUCACCCACUGUUAGGAAGUAUAUUUAAAAGAAAUUGCCUUUUAUAGAUUUAAAUUACAAAAGUACUGAUAUCAUGCAAAAGGCAGUUUAACUCAUGCAAGCAUACAAAUAGGUAAAUCUUAGGGAAGAAGAUACCAAGGCUAAUAUGAAUGUAAAUAGGAUUAGCUGCCUGCAUUAGCAGUGGCUGUGAAAUUUAAAGUACUUUCUGUUAGGUUAUUCUUUAAAAUACACCUAUAUAACAAAAAGAAAAUUUAUGUUAGGGGCCAGAAAAUACUUCCUUAAUCUUGAUGCAUCCUUCUAUCAUCAUAGGGACUCGCUUUAAAGAACUGGAGACAUCAGCUCAGCAAAAAAGGAUUCUGUAGUCAAACAUUUUUAAUUGUGCAUACUGGUGGGUUUUUUGUUUGUUUGCUUGUUUUUGAGGCAGUCUCACUCUGUAGCCCUCAAAAAUAAUGAGCUAUUGCUGCUCGAAUAUUUAUUUCUUCAGCUCUAGUUUAAGCAAAGUAUAACCUGUUCACAUUUCCUAAAGGGAUAGGAUGCAUUAGUUGGCAUGUACCACUGGUGUUACCUCUGUUGCAACCACGGUGCGACUACUGUUCCCACUCUGACCAUAUGAAUUUUCUCCAUCCUCUUCCCAUCUGCCAUCCACACCCUCCAUCUACUGGUUCUAGUUCUAACCUGGCUUCUAAUGCUGUGUGAUCCUUGGUGAAUUGCUUCACCACUCUGGGCCCCACAAGUGCAUCUAUACAGUGAGAGAAUGGGAUUCGAUCAGCAGUCCCAUACCCGAAUGCAGGGCUCAGAAACAAACAAACAUAAAAAUAAGACUGAUACACUUCGUUUACAUAUUAAAUACUAACUAAAAUAUUCUUC